GACGAACGCUGGCGGCGUGCUUAACACAUGCAAGUCGAGCGGUAAGGCCCUUUCGGGGGUACACGAGCGGCGAACGGGUGAGUAACACGUGGGUGACCUGCCCUCAGCUCUGGGAUAAGCCUGGGAAACCGGGUCUAAUACCGGAUAUGACUCCAUGACGCAUGUUGUGGGGUGGAAAGCCUUGUGCGGCUGAGGAUGGGCCCGCGGCCUAUCAGCUUGUUGGUGGGGUGAUGGCCUACCAAGGCGACGACGGGUAGCCGGCCUGAGAGGGCGACCGGCCACACUGGGACUGAGGCACGGCCCAGACUCCUACGGGAGGCAGCAGUGGGGAAUCUUGCGCAAUGGGCGAAAGCCUGACGCAGCGACGCCGCGUGAGGGAUGACGGCCUCGGUU
rnacentral:rRNA from 1 species